rnacentral:rRNA from 1 species
GACGAACGCUGGCGGCGUGCUUAACACAUGCAAGUCGAACGGAAAGGCCCUGCUUUUGUGGGGUGCUCGAGUAGCGAACGGGUGAGUAACACGUGAGUAACCUGCCCUUGACUUUGGGAUAACUUCAGGAAACUGGGGCUAAUACCGGAUAGGAGCUCCUGCUGCAUGGUGGGGGUUGGAAAGUUUCGGCGGUUGGGGAUGGACUCGCGGCUUAUCAGCUUGUUGGUGGGGUAGUGGCUUACCAAGGCUUUGACGGGUAGCCGGCCUGAGAGGGUGACCGGCCACAUUGGGACUGAGAUACGGCCCAGACUCCUACGGGAGGCAGCAGUGGGGAAUAUUGCACAAUGGGCGGAAGCCUGAUGCAGCAACGCCGCGUGCGGGAUGACGGCCUUCGGGUUGUAAACCGCUUUCGCCUGUGACGAAGCGUGAGUGACGGUAAUGGGUAAAGAAGCACCGGCUAUCUACGUG